UGAACAGAACAGGGACGGGGCUCGCGAUCUCUUCCUCCCGACUUAGGCUAGGGCAGGCGACUUCUCCCACGCGCACCUCUUCUUCCUUUCUUCUCCUUACCACCAGCCGACGACAUCUUUUCUUUCCUUGCCGCCGGUCGGCCAACCCUUUCUACUUUAUUUUCUUCUCGUAUUGUCAGCAUCUCUUCCCCGAUCCUCCACAUCCAUUUCUCCUCUUCUCCGAUUUGCUCAAGUCGGCGACGACAGCAGCUCCGGCGGUCUCUUUGAGCAGACAGUGGCGUGGGUCUAGGGUUGCCUUGACAGUGGAGCUUUCUCCUCUGGCAAGCCUUCACCUGUGGACGGCAUUCCGAAAGCAGUGACCCUCCAUCUUAAAUGCAGUGACCAUCCAAUUCUGGUAGAAGCAAGCUUACUCUCAAUUUGUGUGUCAAUUUCCAGCCAAUCAGAGAUCAAUCAUUGAGUUGCUAUUAACCAGUGAUGGCGUUCUAGAUCUAGGCCUCCGUGUGACGACGGAGGUAGUUGAAUUGGUGUAUGAUUGUGGAGGAGUGGAUUUGGUUGGUUAGUUUGUUUCCAUGUUUGAUUUGCUUUAUCUUUCUUCUUAUGCAUUUUGGAUAUUGUAGUUUCUGUUUUGAUUCAUGUUUGAAUUACUUAGUUGUUAGUUUACUUUCAUGUUAA